rnacentral:rRNA from 1 species
UGGGGAAUUUUGNCACAAUGGGCGCAAGCCUGAUCCAGCCAUGCCGCGUGUCUGAAGAAGGCCUUCGGGUUGUAAAGGACUUUUGUCAGGGAAGAAAAGGAUAGGGUUAAUACCCCUGUCUGAUGACGGUACCUGAAGAAUAAGCACCGGCUAACUACGUGCCAGCAGCCGCGGUAAUACGUAGGGUGCGAGCGUUAAUCGGAAUUACUGGGCGUAAAGCGGGCGCAGACGGUUACUUAAGCAGGAUGUGAAAUCCCCGGGCUCAACCUGGGAACUGCGUUCUGAACUGGGUGACUAGAGUGUGUCAGAGGGAGGUAGAAUUCCACGUGUAGCAGUGAAAUGCGUAGAGAUGUGGAGGAAUACCGAUGGCGAAGGCAGCCUCCUGGGAUAACACUGACGUUCAUGCCCGAAAGCGUGGGUAGCAAACAGGAUUAGAUACCCUGGUGGUCCACGCCCUAAACGAUGUCGAUUAGCUGUUGGGCAGCUUGACUGCUUAGUAGCGAAGCUAACGCGUGAAAUCGACCGCCUGGGGAGUACGGUCGCAAGAUUA